CUCACUGCAUAGCUUCCAGUUAACUGAAUGGGGUAUAGGCAAAACAUCAUCACACAUACAACCUCCUUACUCAUCCUCUUUCUUUCCUCAGUAUUCUAUGUGCUUUCUUAUCUCCCUUCUAGUGUAACAUUAGAGAAGGGGUGUACUCUGUGCCCUAGAACUAGGAGCUAACAGAGAAAAACCAAAUGUGAUGUGGAGUCUGCUAGACGGGCUACUGGAGCAAGAGUGAAGCGAUGAAAGUCUCAAUGGGACAUAUUAGGUACCAGUUCCUUUAAUUCAGUAAUUUUCAUUCAGUGAUUUAUGUGUGGAGCAUUGAUCUAAGCACUGGGGAAACAGCACAGAGAACAAGACAAACAUGGUCCCCGGACAUAUCAUUCUAGUUUGAGAAAACUGGUAAUAAGCAG